UGGCAAUAGGACGUGCAUGGUUCUAUUUUGUUGCGUUUCUAGGACCGCCGUAAUGAUAUCAUAGAGGACAGUUGAGGGACAUUAGUAUUGAGUUGUCAGAGGUGAAAUUCUUGGAUUUACUCAAGACUAACUACUGCGAAAGCAUUUGUCAAGGAUGUUUUCAUUAGUCAAGAACGAAAGUUAGGGGAUCGAAGACGAUCAGAUACCGUCGUAGUCUUAACCAUAAACUAUGCCGACUAGGGAUCGGGCGAUGUUCUUUUCUUGACUCGCCCGGCACCUUAUGAGAAAUCAAAGUUUUUGGGUUCCGGGGGGAGUAUGGUCGCAAGGCUGAAACUUAAAGAAAUUGACGGAAGGGCACCACCAGGAGUGGAGCCUGCGGCUUAAUUUGACUCAACACGGGGAAACUCACCAGGUCCAGACAAAGUAAGGAUUGACAGAUUGAUAGCUCUUUCUUGAUUCUUUGGGUGGUGGUGCAUGGCCGUUCUUAGUUGGUGGAGUGAUUUGUCUGCUUAAUUGCGAUAACGAACGAGACCUUAACCUGCUAAAUAGCCCGACUAGCUUUUGCUGGUCGCUGGCUUCUUAGAGGGACUAUUGGCAUAAAGCCAAUGGAAGUUUGAGGCAAUAACAGGUCUGUGAUGCCCUUAGAUGUUGUGGUCCGCACGCGCGCUACACUGUCGGAGCCAGCGAGUUCCUUUCCUUGGCCCU
rnacentral:rRNA from 1 species